rnacentral:rRNA from 1 species
UACGUAGGGUGCAAGCGUUGUCCGGAAUUAUUGGGCGUAAAGAGCUCGUAGGCGGUUUGUCGCGUCUGCUGUGAAAACUCGGGGCUUAACCCCGGGCCUGCAGUGGGUACGGGCAGACUAGAGUGCGGUAGGGGGAGACUGGAAUUCCUGGUGUAGCGGUGAAAUGCGCAGAUAUCAGGAGGAACACCGGUGGCGAAGGCGGGUCUCUGGGCCGUAACUGACGCUGAGGAGCGGAAAGCGUGGGGAGCGAACAGG